rnacentral:tRNA from 1 species
GCCUUUUUAACUCAGUCGGUAGAGUAUUUGCUUAGUAAGCAAAAAGUCACCGGUUCAAGUCCGGUAAGAGGCU